GACGAACGCUGGCGGCGUGCUUAACACAUGCAAGUCGAACGAAGUGGCGAACGGGCGAGUAAUCCGUGGGUAACUGCCCUCCUUUUGGGGAUAAGCCUUGGAAACGGGGUCUAAUACCGAAUACAUGGGGAUGGGCUCUCGGCCUAUCAGCUUGUUGGUGGGGUGAUGGCCUACCAAGGCGGUGACGGGUAGCCGGCCUGAGAGGGGACCGGCCACAGUGUGCUGAGACACGGCCCAGACUCCUACGGGAGGCAGCAGUGGGGAAUAGUGGGCAAUGGGCGCAAGCCUGACCCAGCAACGCCGCGUGAAGGAAGACGGUCUUCGGAUUGUAAACUUCUUUAGACAGGGACGCGUUACCUGUAGAAUAAGCCACGGCUAACUACGUGCCAGCAGCCGCGGUAAUUC
rnacentral:rRNA from 1 species